GCACGCCAAAACGACCCGAUCUUAAUUUUUGAAAGAGCUUUUAUCACAAGUGAUAAAGAUAAGAAUUGGAGUCUUAUCUAUACCUAAUUAUAUUAUAUUAUAUAUAUAUAUAUAUAUAUCAAUACCUAAUAAUAUACGGUAACUAUAUAGGUACAGAAAAUUUUCAUAUUUACCAUUAUAACAAUCACCACUCAUACGAAUAUCAUCAUUAGAAUAGCAAUCUAUAUAUAUCUACACCUAAUACUAAAGAGGCAAAAUCAUUUUGUUGCCUGCCAUAGUCACAUUAUUUUAAAUGAAAUAUAUUAUAUAUUUCAAAUAUUAUAUAAUUAUAUGUAAAACAUAUUAAGUAGGUACUUACCAUUUCUGUCGCUAUUGUUUAUCAUCUUUGAAAUUUUUUGUCUCCCGUUGCAAUGCACGGGCAUUUUUGCUAGUAAUACUUAAUCAUAAAAAUUUCAGUACAACUAAAAAUUAGUCCGCUGUGUCCGCCUCCGUUUGGAACAGGUGGAAGAGGAAAACAAAAUAAAAAAUUUUCUAAGGUUCCCAAUACAAAAUCUUCUAUACACAUUAAAUUAAAAAAAGUAUCCGGAACGGAUGGAAGCGGAAAAUAAAAUAAAAAUUUUUCUAAGGUUUUCAAUGCAAAAUCUUCUCUACACAUCAAAUAAGAAAAGUAUAGGGGCCU
rnacentral:lncRNA from 1 species